CAAUAAUGCAACGCUAUUUUUUGAAAAACUGCGAAAAUUUCAAACGCAUCACAAAACAUUGGCACCAGGAGUCGCAAUUUUAAAACUGGCAAAUUUCACAUCAAAUGUAAACACAUUAUACAUUGAUGAAUCUAUCCAAAUGUCUUUCGAGAAAUUUUCAAUACAUUUCAUUUAUUUCGCCAUAGAGGAAAAUGGAAAAAGUUUCAUCAUUUUUUGCGUAGUAGCAUCGAGGUUAACCGAUUCGAUUAGGAAAUCUGUUAUUAAUGAAAUUGGCGAUCAAUUGCAGAAAGAGGAAUUGCAAUUUAUUGUAG